AACCCAUGCAUAGGACACUUCCGUAACAAAUCUUUAAAUUUUUCCCAUGCUUCAUACAAGCUUUCAUCAUUCAUUUACUUGAAAGAAGUUAAACUAUUUCGAAGCUU